UACGGAGGGUGCAAGCGUUGUCCGGAUUCACUGGGUUUAAAGGGAGCGUAGGCGGGCUGGUAAGUCAGUGGUGAAAUCCCCGAGCUUAACUUGGGAACUGCCAUUGAUACUAUCAGUCUUGAAUACUGUGGAGGCUAGCGGAAUAUGUCAUGUAGCGGUGAAAUGCUUAGAUAUGACAUAGAACACCAAUUGCGAAGGCAGCUUACUACACAGUGAUUGACACUGAGGCACGAAAGCGUGGGGAUCAAACAGG
rnacentral:rRNA from 1 species